rnacentral:rRNA from 1 species
AGAUUGAACGCUGGCGGCAGGCCUAACACAUGCAAGUCGAGCGGUAGAGAGGUGCUUGCACCUCUUGAGAGCGGCGGACGGGUGAGUAAUGCCUAGGAAUCUGCCUAGUGGUGGGGGAUAACGUUCGGAAACGGACGCUAAUACCGCAUACGUCCUACGGGAGAAAGCGGGGGACCUUCGGGCCUCGCGCCAUUAGAUGAGCCUAGGUCGGAUUAGCUAGUUGGUGAGGUAAUGGCUCACCAAGGCGACGAUCCGUAACUGGUCUGAGAGGAUGGAUCAGUCACACUGGAACUGAGACACGGUCCAGACCUCCUACGGGAGGCCAGCAGUGGGGAAUAUGGACAAUGGGCGAAAGCCUGAUCCAGCCAUGCCGCGUAGUGUGAAGUAAGGUCUUACGGAUUGUAAAG